GGGCGUGUGGUCUAGUGGUAUGAUUCUCGCUUUGGGUAACAUUCGGCGUCAAAACUGAAAGACUAAGCAUGCGAGAGGCCCUGGGUUCAAUUCCCAGCUCGCCCC